rnacentral:misc_RNA from 1 species
GGGAUAAGAACCGCCAGCGCCUGGCGGAUUGUGCUAUUGGGUUCGGUAAGAAUGCCAUUGGAGGAAGAGAUGGAAAAAUUUAUGUGGUGACAGAUUCUGGUGAAGAUGAUCCUGUGAACCCUAAGCCAGGGACUCUGAGACAUGCAGUGAUUCAAGAUGAGCCAUUGUGGAUUAUUUUCGCUCGUGACAUGACGAUUCAACUGAAGGAAGAGCUGAUCAUGAACUCGUUUAAGACUAUCGAUGGUAGAGGUGCUAGCGUCCACAUUGCUGGUGGUCCGUGCAUUACUAUACAAUUUGUGACCAAUAUUAUUAUUCAUGGACUGCACAUACAUGACUGCAAGCAAGGAGGGAAUGCUUAUGUGAGGGACUCCCCGCAGCACUAUGGGUGGAGGACUGUAUCAGACGGUGAUGGAGUGUCCAUCUUUGGUGGCAGCCACAUUUGGGUGGACCAUAACUCGUUGUCAAAUUGUAACGACGGCCUGGUUGAUGCAAUUCAUGGGUCCACAGCCAUCACAAUUUCAAACAAUUACAUGACCCACCAUGAUAAAGUAAUGUUACUAGGUCACAGCGAUUCCUACGCUCAAGACAAGAACAUGCAGGUCACUAUAGCCUUCAAUCACUUUGGAGAAGGGCUUGUCCAAAGGAUGCCAAGAUGUAGACAUGGGUAUUUCCAUGUGGUCAACAAUGACUACACCCAUUGGGAAAUGUAUGCUAUUGGAGGCAGUGCAGACCCAACCAUCAAUAGCCAAGGCAACAGAUUUGUUGCACCUGACUAUAGAUACAGCAAAGAGGUCACAAAACAUGAGGAUGCACCAGAAAGUGAAUGGAAGAACUGGAAUUGGAGGUCUGAGGGAGACCUAUUGGUGAAUGGUGCAUUUUUCACAGCUUCAGGUGCUGGAGCUUCUUCAAGCUAUGCCAAGGCAUCAAGCUUGAGUGCUAGACCUUCUUCACUUGUGGGUACCAUAACUGGGGGAUCAGGUGCCCUCAAUUGUAAGAAAGGAGCUCGUUGCUGAUUGUGAUAUCCGUUGAUUAAUGAUCACAACAUUUCUUAAUUACAAGUGAGAUUUAAUUAAGCAUGUUGGACAAUGGUUAGUUAGAAAAAAGUGAGUAGAAAAAUGGAAGUUAAGGAAAAUGUGGAAGCUGAUGACGUCAAAGUUCACCUCACAUCGUUUUAGUUAAGUUUCAUGGACUGUCCUCUUCCUUCCAAAUUUUUAUUAUUUUACUCAUUUUUCUCUCUCCACCCACCCCCACCCUCCCCCCACACCCACCCA